ACGCUGGCGGCGGCUUACAACUGCAGUUCAGCGGAGCGAAGGUGCUUGCACCUUAGCCUAACGGCGGACGGGUGAGUACAUGCUUAGAGAAUCUGCCUAUUAGUGGGGGACAACGUUUCGAAAGGAACGCUAAUACCGCAUACGUCCUACGGGAGAAAGCAGGGGAUCUUCGGACCUUGUGCUAAUAGAUGAGCCUAAGUCGGAUUAGCUAGUUGGUGGGGUAAAGGCCUACCAAGGCGACGAUCUGUAGCGGGUCUGAGAGGAUGAUCCGCCACACUGGGACUGAGACACGGCCCAGACUCCUACGGGAGGCAGCAGUGGGGAAUAUUGGACAAUGGGCGAAAGCCUGAUCCAGCCAUGCCGCGUGUGUGAAGAAGGCCUUUUGGUUGUAAAGCACUUUAAGCGAGGAGGAGGCUUCUUUGGUUAAUACCCAAAGUAAGUGGACGUUACUCGCAGAAUAAGCACCGGCUAACUCUGUGCCAGCAGCCGCGGUAAUACAGAGGGUGCAAGCGUUAAUCGGAUUUACUGGGCGUAAAGCGUGCGUAGGCGGCUAAUUAAGUCAAAUGUGAAAUCCCCGAGCUUAACUUGGGAAUUGCAUUCGAUACUGGUUAGCUAGAGUAUGGGAGAGGAUGGUAGAAUUCCAGGUGUACGCGGUGAAAUGCGUAAGAUCUGGAGGAAUUACCGAUUUCGGCGAAUGCAAGCAUACUUGGCCUUAAUACUGGACCGCCUGAAGGUACGAAAAGCAUGGGGGGCCAAACACGGAUUCUAGAUCACCCCUGGUAUCCAUGGCCGGUAAACGAUGUUCUACCUAAGCCGUUGAGGGUCUCUUUGAAAACCUUUGGCGCAUAACGCAAACU
rnacentral:rRNA from 1 species